UACGUAGGUGGCAAGCGUUGUCCGGAUUUACUGGGCGUAAAGAGCGCGCAGGCGGUCGUUCAAGUCGCGUGUGAAAGCCCCCGGCUCAACUGGGGAGGGUCACGCGAUACUGAUCGACUCGAAGGCAGGAGAGGGAAGUGGAAUUCCCGGUGUAGUGGUGAAAUGCGUAGAUAUCGGGAGGAAUACCGAUGGCGAAGGCAGGUCUCUGGGCUGACACUGACGCUCAUGCACGAAAGCGUGGGGAGCAAACAGG
rnacentral:rRNA from 1 species